rnacentral:ncRNA from 1 species
GUAUUCUACUCUNUGGGCAACUCGAGCUGGCUUAUCUCCCCCAAGAGUCACAUCGACGGGGAGGGUUUGGCACCUCGAUGUCGGCUCAUCGCAUCCUGGGGCUGUAGUCGGUCCCAAGGGUUGGGCUGUUCGCCCAUUAAAGCGGUACGCGAGCUGGGUUCAGAACGUCGUGAGACAGUUCGGUCCCUAUCCGUCGUGGGCGUAGGAAAUUUGAGAGGAGCUGUCCUUAGUACGAGAGGACCGGGAUGGACGCACCGCUGGUGUACCAGUUGUUCUGCCAAGGGCAUAGCUGGGUAGCUAUGUGCGGAAGGGAUAAGUGCUGAAAGCAUCUAAGCAUGAAGCCCCCCUCAAGAUGAGAUUUCCCAUAGCGUAAGCUAGUAAGAUCCCUGAAAGAUGAUCAGGUUGAUAGGUUCGAGGUGGAAGCAUGGUGACAUGUGGAGCUGACGAAUACUAAUAGAUCGAGGACUUAACCAU